GGUCCCAUAGCUCAGUUGGUCAGAGCGUCGUACUAAUAUUAUAUCUACGCUACUAGAUGUAAUAUCAUGAGUCAAUGCGAAGGCCGUGAGUUCAAGCCUCACUGGGACCA